UCACCGCUCUCUUCUAUAACAUGAACUCUUCAAGGUUAACCAACCUUGAGCUAAACUCCCCCUGAGUCUAGGCUUCAACCUCCAAGUCUUUGAAGGUACGUCACCAAGUACUUCACCCAAGUACAUCACCGAGUAUAGGGCUGGGCAAAUAAACCGAACCCAAAAAUCCGAACAAAACCCGAUCCGAUAAAAAUGAAUCCGAACCGAUCCGAACCCGACAUAAAUACCAAAUGGAUCUUGUUUUUUGGUAUUUUGGGUUAUGGGUAUUAUCCGAUAGAACCUGAAACAUUUAAAAUCACAAAAAAAAAACUUCUACCAAAUAUGAUCUUAAUUCUUAAUAUGUAUCCAAAAUACUUUAAGAUAUUAUUGAACUUCUAAAAUAAUUAUCUAUUACAUGAAGGUUGACGGUGGAAUGUGGCGGUUGAAGCCUGAAGUUUUUAGAUUUUGGUUUUGUUUUCAUUGAAUAAUGUUUCUCAUUUCAUGAGAACUUAGUUUUUGUUUUAUGAUUUCAUUUAUCUCGUUUUCUUUCUAUCACUAACAAUGUUUAUCUUUCCCUUGAUUUUGAAUGAUCACGUUUGAUGUUUUUUCUUAUUUUUAAAUCGAUUUUACUUAUGUUUUGGCUAUUAAAAUAUGUACAAAUCAUCUAUUUUAAAUCCAAAGAGCCGAUUUCAUUUAUGUUUUAGUUACAAAAUAGGUACAAAUAAGGUAUUUUUAAACCAAAGAACCGAUUGGGACCCAAACCCGAAAGUACAAUGGGUUAUACCGGUUCUUUCAAGAUUUACUAACCCCCACCCAAACCGGUUCCGAACUUUUAUAUAACCCGAAUGGAGCUGAUUUUGAUAAACCCGAAAAACCAAAACCCGAAUGGAUAAAACCGAAACCCGAGUGGGACCCUGAAUGCCCAUUCCUAACCGAGUACGUCAGAACCUAACGCACACCAAGGAUACCAACGAGCACACCAACACCUAACAAUGUUUAUCUUUCCCUUGAUUUUGAAUGAUCACGUUUGAUGUUUUUUCUUAUUUUUAAAUUGAAGGUACGUCACCAAGUACUUCACCCAAGUACAUCACCGAGUAUAGGGCUGGGCAAAUAAACCGAACCCAAAAAUCCGAACAAAACCCGAUCCGAUAAAAAUGAAUCCGAACCGAUCCGAACCCGACAUAAAUACCAAAUGGAUCUUGUUUUUUGGUAUUUUGGGUUAUGGGUAUUAUCCGAUAGAACCUGAAACAUUUAAAAUCACAAAAAAAAAACUUCUACCAAAUAUGAUCUUAAUUCUUAAUAUGUAUCCAAAAUACUUUAAGAUAUUAUUGAACUUCUAAAAUAAUUAUCUAUUACAUGAAGGUUGACGGUGGAAUGUGGCGGUUGAAGCCUGAAGUUUUUAGAUUUUGGUUUUGUUUUCAUUGAAUAAUGUUUCUCAUUUCAUGAGAACUUAGUUUUUGUUUUAUGAUUUCAUUUAUCUCGUUUUCUUUCUAUCACUAACAAUGUUUAUCUUUCCCUUGAUUUUGAAUGAUCACGUUUGAUGUUUUUUCUUAUUUUUAAAUCGAUUUUACUUAUGUUUUGGCUAUUAAAAUAUGUACAAAUCAUCUAUUUUAAAUCCAAAGAGCCGAUUUCAUUUAUGUUUUAGUUACAAAAUAGGUACAAAUAAGGUAUUUUUAAACCAAAGAACCGAUUGGGACCCAAACCCGAAAGUACAAUGGGUUAUACCGGUUCUUUCAAGAUUUACUAACCCCCACCCAAACCGGUUCCGAACUUUUAUAUAACCCGAAUGGAGCUGAUUUUGAUAAACCCGAAAAACCAAAACCCGAAUGGAUAAAACCGAAACCCGAGUGGGACCCUGAAUGCCCAUUCCUAACCGAGUACGUCAGAACCUAACGCACACCAAGGAUACCAACGAGCACACCAACACCAACGUACAGAUUGAUCACCACACCACAACGGACAACUCCGCUACACGUAACACCAGCACCAACAUCACAACACCAAGUACAGCGGAACACUCCGUCAGACACUACGUCAGACACUCCGUCAAACACUCACCAAGAACACAAUGAAAUAGAACCUGAAACAUUUAAAAUCACAAAAAAAAAACUUCUACCAAAUAUGAUCUUAAUUCUUAAUAUGUAUCCAAAAUACUUUAAGAUAUUAUUGAACUUCUAAAAUAAUUAUCUAUUACAUGAAGGUUGACGGUGGAAUGUGGCGGUUGAAGCCUGAAGUUUUUAGAUUUUGGUUUUGUUUUCAUUGAAUAAUGUUUCUCAUUUCAUGAGAACUUAGUUUUUGUUUUAUGAUUUCAUUUAUCUCGUUUUCUUUCUAUCACUAACAAUGUUUAUCUUUCCCUUGAUUUUGAAUGAUCACGUUUGAUGUUUUUUCUUAUUUUUAAAUCGAUUUUACUUAUGUUUUGGCUAUUAAAAUAUGUACAAAUCAUCUAUUUUAAAUCCGAAGAACCGAUUUCAUUUAUGUUUUAGUUACAAAAUAGGUACAAAUAAGGUAUUUUUAAACCAAAGAACCGAUUGGGACCCAAACCCGAAAGUACAAUGGGUUAUACCGGUUCUUUCAAGAUUUACUAACCCCCACCCAAACCGGUUCCGAACUUUUAUAUAACCCGAAUGGAGCUGAUUUUGAUAAACCCGAAAAACCAAAACCCGAAUGGAUAAAACCGAAACCCGAGUGGGACCCUGAAUGCCCAUUCCUAACCGAGUACGUCAGAACCUAAUGCACACCAAGGAUACCAACGAGCACACCAACACCAACGUACAGAUUGAUCACCACACCACAACGGACAACUCCGCUACACGUAACACCAGCACCAACAUCACAACACCAAGUACAGCGGAACACUCCGUCAGACACUACGUCAGACACUCCGUCAAACACUCACCAAGAACACAAUGAAACUUUCUCUCACUUUAAUCCUGGGUGAUGUCUUUCUCAUAAGGGCACGUCCCUCCUUAUAUAUAAACCGUAGAAAUCCAAAGAGCCGAUUUCAUUUAUGUUUUAGUUACAAAAUAGGUACAAAUAAGGUAUUUUUAAACCAAAGAACCGAUUGGGACCCAAACCCGAAAGUACAAUGGGUUAUACCGGUUCUUUCAAGAUUUACUAACCCCCACCCAAACCGGUUCCGAACUUUUAUAUAACCCGAAUGGAGCUGAUUUUGAUAAACCCGAAAAACCAAAACCCGAAUGGAUAAAACCGAAACCCGAGUGGGACCCUGAAUGCCCAUUCCUAACCGAGUACGUCAGAACCUAACGCACACCAAGGAUACCAACGAGCACACCAACACCAACGUACAGAUUGAUCACCACACCACAACGGACAACUCCGCUACACGUAACACCAGCACCAACAUCACAACACCAAGUACAGCGGAACACUCCGUCAGACACUACGUCAGACACUCCGUCAAACACUCACCAAGAACACAAUGAAACUUUCUCUCACUUUAAUCUUGGGUGAUGUCUUUCUCAUAAGGGCACGUCCCUCCUUAUAUAUAAACCGUAGACUUGCUCUCCAAGUUCAUUAAAUGCACCUUAAUGAACUUGCAUUCCCAUAUAAGAAAACUUCCUAUUCCUCUCCAGGUAACACUUCUUCUCCAAGCAAAACCUCUUUGCUUAAUGAAAAACGUCAUUUGUCUUCAACAAGAUAUUCUAUUUCCUUUUCCAAUCUCCACUUACACACGCAAUCACCUUAGACAAUCUCCUUGUAAGAAACUUCUCCACUCGACGUCCUGCCGUACGUCUUGACAUACGUCUUGACACACCUUCUAAUGUACAUCACAAACUACAUCAGAAUCUCUCUGGAAAUAUCAUCUACAAUCUCCCCCUUUUUGACUAUGCAUGUGAACUCAACAACUCAGGCAUGAAGCAGCAUCUUCAAUCUCCCCUUUUGAGUCACAUCAUGGUCAAAAACUAAUAUGAAGAUGAUCGCCAUCCUCCAUACUGAGGAUAGAAACCCAUUCCACCAUCUCCAUAAUGACCAGAUCUUCCAAACCACGUAUCCAUGAGCCUUAUCCCUCCAUGAUUAGCUCUAUGACCAGAAUUAAGCCCACCACGCUGAACAUGACCUUCAGCUUCACAAUAACAUACUGGAUUAUGAAACCUCAUACCAUAUGUUUGCUUCAUCUGAUGUUUCUCCCUCAACAGCAAGAAGCACCUUGGCCUAAUAUGACCACGAACUCCACAAUGAUGACAAACAAGAACACAAGCUCGUCGAGGUGCACUCUUCACUUAUAGAGUUUUCCUUGCAGCAGUCGCUGUCGCACCCCUUGCAGCAGUCGCUGUCGCAGCCCUUGCAACAGUCACUUCACCAGUCCUUGGGACAGUCACAGUAGCAGCCUUUGCUGCAGUCGCAGUAGCAGUCGCAACCUUCACAUCAUCAAUCGCAGCUUUACCGUCUGUUACAGUUCCUCUUGAACUCUUAACAGCUGGUUUUGUAGCAUAUGUCGCUAUGUUCUCUGUCGCACCAGCAGACACAAAAACACAUCCACCUUUAGAAGAUUUACCCUUGAACCCGAGACCACACCGAUCACUUUGCCCAAUGCUGAGAAGAUGAUCCAACAUAUUUGUACCAAUAUUAAGCAUCCUCAGACCUUUCUGAGUUUCUUCAAGUUGAACUCUAGCUUGUCUUGCUUCUUCUUCUUUCUCUGAAGCAUGUUUCAAUGCUUCACCAAUCUGAGCCUCUAGUUUGACUUUCUCCUUAUCCAAAACGGAAUUCUCCUCAACCAUCGUUAGCAAUUGCGCAUACAAUGUCUCAAACUUCUUAGCCAGAUCGAAACCCUCAGAUCUUACUUUAAAAAAAAAAAAAAGAGAAUAGAUUCUCUAUUUUUAUACUAAAUAUCUAGAUACUUUUUUUGUUAGUGAACUCGAAUCUAAUUAAGUUCUUUCAUUUAGAGAAAAGAGGAUAAAACUGAGGAAAUCAAAUGAUCCAGAUUUAGUAUGGCUACCAAAAAAAUUCAAUGUUUGAAUUGAGAGUUCCUUCCUACGUCAAGAUUUUUUGAUCUUUUGAUUUGAAUUGUUGGAAGAAUCAAAAUCGUGAAUUUUUCUAAGACAGUAUUAAUAAUUUCAUCGAAAACUUACAGCUGCUUGCCAAACAAAGGCUAAGAGAAGAAAGAAAAGAGGUAUUACGGGCAUCAUCCUCACUUCCAGCAACAUCAUCAUCUCCACGUGUGGACCCUGACACAGAUGAUGACACAGACGAUGACACAUAUUCCACUGCAAACUUCUUCACAGAACCCAAGGUUGUAAACGCCACAAAGUUCUUCAGAUCCUCACCAUGAUCUGAAUCAGUAUCAGAGUCACUCUUAUUGUUCAUCUUCUUAUUGUGCCUCUGUAAAUUUGGACAUUCCAAAUGAACAUGUCCAAUCCCAUUGCACUCAUAGCACCGUACCUUUGAUGGUGAUCUUCUCGAACCACCUCUUUUUCCAUUGUCUCUUCUGUCUCGCUGUUGCUUCAGAUACUCAGCAAGAUUUCUUGACAGCAUCGCCAUAGGAUCUUCAGAAGGUGAGACUUUCAAAGCAACACCAUAAGAAUCUUCUGUCUCCUUAUCCUUAUCCUUCUUCUUAUCUUUAUCUCCAUACGCCUUGCUCAACUCAAAGGCUUGGAGAAUCCCAAAAAAACUCAUCAAAAGACAUCUCAUCCAGAUUAUGAGCUUCUUCUACAGCAGAAAUCUUUGACUCAAGCUUCACUGGCAGCGACCUUUUCAAUUUCUUCACCAGCUUCUUGUCCUUGAACUGCUUCCCAAGCGAAAACCACUCAUUAGAUAUGUCACACAACUUGGCACUAAACUGAGCCAGGAUUUCUUCUUCAUCCAUCCUUAUCUUUUCAAAUCUAGAUACUAACAUAUCCAGCUUGGUUCGCUUGACACUUGAAGUACCUUCAAACAUGUUUUCCAAUGUCCUCCACGCCUUUGGAGCUGACACACAUCGAGAAAUCAGCUUGAAGUAGCUCGCAUCAAUAGCAUUGUAGAUCGACGUCUUCGCCUUAGAAUUUCAGCUUGAAGCCUUCUUCUUUGAAGCAGUCCACUUCUCUCUCGGCUUAAGAACUCCAACCUUCUCAAUUAUACUCCAACACUCUUCAUCAAGACCACUAAUGAAAGCUUGCAUACGGACCUUCCAAUAUCCAUAAUUAGAUGAAUCUCGGUGACUUUGUCAUAGAAGUCCUUUCUCGAUAUCCCUCUAUCAAGACGAGUUUCCAAACUCUGUCGUACUUCCUGACGCAGUCUCUGUCACUCACCCUGAUCUACUCGAAACUAGUCGUUAACUCUAUCGAAACCUGGCUCUGAUACCACUUGUAAGUGGGGAUGAGUCAGAGAUAUAUAGAAGUAAGUAAAUGACACACAGAGUUUGUUAACGAGGUUCGUUUCCUACUCCCUGGGACCUUGUCCAGUAUUCAAAUUCACUAUAAUGAGAAAGCAAAUUACAACCAAUUUGCAAAAGCGUAAUACAAGCACAACCCUCUUGAAUCACCGCUCUCUUCUAUAACAUGAACUCUUCAAGGUUAACCAACCUUGAGCUAAACUCCCCCUGAGUCUAGGCUUCAACCUCCAAGUCUCUGAAGGUACGUCACCAAGUACUUCACCCAAGUACGUCACCGAGUACGUCAGAACCUAACGCACACCAAGGAUACCAACGAGCAUGCCAACACCAACCUACAUAUUGAUCACCACACCACAACAGACAACUCCGCUACACGUAACGCCAUCACCAAUGUCACAACACCAAGUACAAUGGAACACUCCGUCAGACACUCCUUCAGACACUACUUCAGACACUCCGUCAGACACUCACAAAGAACACAAUGAAACUUUCUCUCACUUUAAUCUCUGGAUGUUGUCUUUCUCAU
rnacentral:lncRNA from 1 species